rnacentral:rRNA from 1 species
CGUGCUUAACACAUGCAAGUCGAACGGUGAACACGGAGCUUGCUCUGUGGGAUCAGUGGCGAACGGGUGAGUAACACGUGAGCAACCUGCCCCUGACUCUGGGAUAAGCGCUGGAAACGGCGUCUAAUACUGGAUACGAGUAGCGACCGCAUGGUCAGUUACUGGAAAGAUUUAUUGGUUGGGGAUGGGCUCGCGGCCUAUCAGCUUGUUGGUGAGGUAAUGGCUCACCAAGGCGUCGACGGGUAGCCGGCCUGAGAGGGUGACCGGCCACACUGGGACUGAGACACGGCCCAGACUCCUACGGGAGGCAGCAGUGGGGAAUAUUGCACAAUGGGCGCAAGCCUGAUGCAGCAACGCCGCGUGAGGGAUGACGGCCUUCGGGUUGUAAACCUCUUUUAGCAGGGAAGAAGCGAAAGUGACGGUACCUGCAGAAAAAGCGCCGGCUAACUACGUGCCAGCAGCCGCGGUAAUACGUAGGGCGCAAGCGUUAUCCGGAAUUAUUGGGCGUAAAGAGCUCGUAGGCGGUUUGUCGCGUCUGCUGUGAAAUCCGGAGGCUCAACCUCCGGCCUGCAGUGGGUACGGGCAGACUAGAGUGCGGUAGGGGAGAUUGGAAUUCCUGGUGUAGCGGUGGAAUGCGCAGAUAUCAGGAGGAACACCGAUGGCGAAGGCAGAUCUCUGGGCCGUAACUGACGCUGAGGAGCGAAAGGGUGGGGAGCAAACAGGCUUAGAUACCCUGGUAGUCCACCCCGUAAACGUUGGGAACUAGUUGUG